rnacentral:lncRNA from 1 species
AUGAAGGCCGACUUGAGGCUGGUAAGGGAGAGUCAUGAACCGGGAGCAGAGAACCUCCCAAUGGACAGCUGGCCCUGGAGCAACGAAGAGGAAUCGCCCUUCAAAGGCUUGCCCCCCUUGCCUAAAGUCUUUCGAGAGCCCAGCUUGCCUUCAUUUUCUCUGCCUGGGGAAGGAGAGCAGGAAGCAGCCCAAGAGCUUGAGGGGGGCUGCCCUGGCCUCCAAAACAAGAUCGCCUGGGUGCACAGUGAAAUGCUGAGAUUGCGGAGGGCUGACCAGGCGCUUUUCCGCCAUCUCUACACCCUCGCGUUGGAGAUCCAGGACCUGAAGGAGUUGCAGCUGGAGAUGGAAAUUUUCUCGAGGGAGGAGCUGCUUGUGGACGAGCAAGGCCACGUACGAGACACCGCCAGCGCAGCCACGAAUGUCCACUCGGCAGCCGCUUUUGAAAUGACCAUCUGAAAAUUGGGGGAGCCACGGCCAACUCCGAUCCAUCCUUACUCACAUGCAAACCGUGAUCUGGUGCUCCAGUCCCCAAGCAACGAACCUGUAUCUGUGAAUGCACCUUCAGUCCCAAGACUUAAUACUGACUUUGCACUGGCAGAACCCCUGUCCCGGUGUGGGUUAGGACACGGGCAACGAGACAAUGGCCCUCUGCUACAACCACACACCGGAGGCUGGUUGUUCCAUGCCAGAGGUCAUCAAACUAAGGCCCGCGGGCCGGAUACGGCCCACUGGGCUCGUUAAUCUGGCCCGCGAACCUUGCGGACCCUGCCGCCCGCUCGGUCAGUCCCCGCGCAAUUCGUGCCAUUACCUCAGAUAUUCGGAAAGGAGCCCAUGUGCCAGUACAAGUCUGGAAUACUAACCCGUUAAGCAAUUGCUGGUCUAAUCUGUUUGGGACCAGAUGGAUGGCAGGCCUAGCAAAAGGAGCAUCCAUGUUUUUCCUAGCAGUCCUUGCCUUGAUUGUAUUUGUGCCUUGUCUAUUUGCCUUAGUCCGUCACUUGGUUUCUAACAUGCUUUCCAAUAUAGCCCAAAAACAGUUAUUUUUGCAAUACCACCAACUGCCUCAGGAGGGUCAAGAUGGGUUACCUGAGGGACAAGCUGAAUGGUACAAGUAAUGGAUCCAAACUACAAGAAAGAAGAUUCCACCUAAACAUUAGGAAGAACUUCCUGACAGUAAGAGCUGUUUGACAGUGGAAUUUGCUGCCAAGGAGUGUGGUGGAGUCUCCUUCUUUGGAGGUCUUUAAGCAGAGGCUUGACAACCAUAUGUCAGGAGUGCUCUGAUGGUGUUUCCUGCUUGGCAGGGGGUUGGACUCGAUGGCCCUUGUGGUCUAUUCCAACUCUAUGAUUCUAUGAUUCUAAGUAAUCUUGUACCUUUAAGCUUGAAAGGGGGGAAUGUGGUGGCGGCCCAAAGGGCCACAAUAAAUGUGAUAAUGUGUACCCCUGUAAAUCCUUGAGUGCGCUUCUAAUAGAGAAGUUAUGGUAACCUGUUGCUUUAUGAAACUGAUGAUUUUGCAAGU